rnacentral:rRNA from 1 species
UACGAAGGGGGCUAGCGUUGUUCGGAUUCAUUGGGCGUAAAGGGUGCGUAGGCGGCGCGGUAAGUCGGGUGUGAAAUCUUGGAGCUUAACUCCGAAACUGCAUUCGAUACUGCCGUGCUUGAGGACUGGAGAGGAGACUGGAAUUUACGGUGUAGCGGUGAAAUGCGUAGAUAUCGUAAGGAAGACCAGUGGCGAAGGCGGGUCUCUGGACAGUUCCUGACGCUGAAGCACGAAGGCCAGGGGAGCAAACGGG